rnacentral:rRNA from 1 species
AGUCGUAACAAGGUUUCCGUAGGAAUAUCCUUCUCUAGUGAAGCCUUGGAUAUGCGCAACUAUAAACAAUGCUAACACAGCCCUGAAUUUCAAUUUUAUGGGCGACGUCACAUAAAUGCUGGGAGCCUUUAACAAUAAGAGUAUCAGCAGCCAAAUCUAUGUUUGGUCCACAGAUUAAAUGGUGACGGUCAAAUGGUAGAAAAUUCUUGGUUGAUAAGCACAUGCAUUCAUAUCCACCAAGCUCUUUGUUUGAUUAAGAUAUAAUCGGUCUACCGUUCUAAAGCGGUGAGAGAAACGUUCCGUAGGUGAACCUGCGGAAGGAUCAUUAUCGAGUUAGGGUCUCCUGGGCCCCAUCUCCGACUCUUGUCUACCUUAAUACGUUGUUUGACGGGCCCGCGCCCGUCAACGACCACUUUUAAACUCUUGCAACCAUGUCUAAACAAAAUUAAAUUAUUAAAACUUUCAACAACGGAUCUCUUGGUUCUGGCAUCGAUGAAGAACGCAGCGAAAUGCGAUAAGUAAUGCGAAUUGCAGAAUUCCGUGAGUCAUCGAAUCUUUGAACGCACAUUGCGCCCUUUGGUAUUCCGAAGGGCAUGCCUGUUCGAGCGUCAUUAUCAACCCUCAAGCCCGGCUUGUCGUUGGAUCCCAUCGUCGGCGACGGCGGUGGAUCCGAAAGAUAAUGGCAGAGUCAGUGGGACCCUGAAUGCAGCGAGCUUCUCAGCAUGCAUCUCCACGGUCUCCCGGCUCGGUCUUAACCAAUUCACUUCAUCUGGUUGACCUCGGAUCAGGUAGGAAUACCCGCUGAACUUAAGCAUAUCAAUAAGCGGAGGAAAAGAAACCAACAGGGAUUGCCUCAGUGACGGCGAGUGAAGCGGCAACAGCUCAAAUUUGAAAUCUGGCUCCUUUGGGGGUCCGAGUUGUAAUUUGUAGAGGAUGCUUCGGGCAAGGCUGCGGUCUAAUUCGCUAGGAACAGCGAGUCAUAGAGGGUGAGAGUCCCGUCUAGGAUCGUGCGCCGCGUCCAUGUGAAGCUCCUUCGACGAGUCGAGUUGUUUGGGAAUGCAGCUCUAAAUGGGUGGUAAAUUUCAUCUAAAGCUAAAUAUUGGCCAGAGACCGAUAGCGCACAAGUAGAGUGAUCGAAAGAUGAAAAGCACUUUGAAAAGAGAGUUAAACAGUAUGUGAAAUUGUUGAAAGGGAAGCGCUUGCAACCAGACUUGCGAGUGUGACGGUUCCCCCGACCUUCUGGUCGGGCUACUCCGUCCUCUCCAGGCCAGCAUCGGUUUGGGUGGUCGGUCAAAGACCCCGGGAAUGUAUCCACCUCCGGGUCGACUUAUAGCCCGGGGUGCAAUGCGACCCACCCGGACCGAGGAACGCGCUCCGGCUCGGAUGCUGGCGUAAUGGUUGUAAGCGGCC